GGUGGCUCAGUGGUAAAGCGCUUGCCUUGCAUGCAUGAGGUCCUGGGUUCCAUUCCUCAGCACCA
rnacentral:tRNA from 1 species